UACGGAGGGUGCAAGCGUUAUCCGGAUUCACUGGGUUUAAAGAGCGCGUAGGCGGUCCGGUAAGUCGGUUGUGAAAACUGGGGGCUCAACCCUCAGAGGCCGACCGAUACUGCCGGGCUAGAGUCCGGAAGAGGCGAGUGGAAUUCCUGGUGUAGCGGUGAAAUGCGCAGAUAUCAGGAGGAACACCAAUGGCGAAGGCAGCUCGCUGGGACGGUACUGACGCUGAGGCGCGAAAGCGUGGGGAGCAAACAGG
rnacentral:rRNA from 1 species